UAACGGCGAGUGAAGCGGUAACAGCUCAAAUUUGAAAUCUGGCCUCACGGUCCGAGUUGUAAUUUGUAGAGGAUGCUUCGAGCAUGGUCUGGCCUAAGUUCCUUGGAACAGGACGUCAUAGAGGGUGAGAAUCCCGUAUGCGGCCAGGUGCCUACGCUCAUGUGAAGCUCCUUCGACGAGUCGAGUUGUUUGGGAAUGCAGCUCAAAAUGGGUGGUAAAUUUCAUCUAAAGCUAAAUAUUGGCCAGAGACCGAUAGCGCACAAGUAGAGUGAUCGAAAGAUGAAAAGCACUUUGGAAAGAGAGUUAAACAGUACGUGAAAUUGUUGAAAGGGAAGCGCUUGCAACCAGACUUGCGCGCGGCCGAUCAUCCGGUGUUCUCACCGGUGCACUCGGCCGUGCUCAGGCCAGCAUCGGUUUUGGCGGCUGGAUAAAGGCCCUAGGAAUGUAGCUCCUCUCGGGGAGUGUUAUAGCCUAGGGUGCAAUGCAGCCUGCUGGGACCGAGGACCGCGCUUCGGCUAGGAUGCUGGCGUAAUGGUUGUAAGCGGCCCGUCUUGAAACACGGACCAAGGAGUCUAACAUCUAUGCGAGUGUUUGGGUGUCAAACCCAUACGCGUAAUGAAAGUGAACGGAGGUGAGAACCCUUAAGGGUGCAUCAUCGACCGGUCCUGAAGUUUACGGAAGGAUCUGAGUAAGAGCAUAGCUGUUGGGACCCGAAAGAUGGUGAACUAUGCCUGAAUAGGGUGAAGCCAGAGGAAACUCUGGUGGAGGCUCGCAGCGGUUCUGACGUGCAAAUCGAUCGUCAAAUUUGGGUAUAGGGG
rnacentral:rRNA from 1 species